UCCAUGGAUGAAGAAGACUUAGUUGCUUAUGUUUUAAAUGGUUUAGAUGAUGAUUUUGAACCUAUUAUAUCUGCUAUUGUGGCACGAAACAAAUCUGUCAUAAUGACAGAAGUAUAUUCUCAAUUGCUUUACUUUGAGA
rnacentral:snoRNA from 1 species